rnacentral:rRNA from 1 species
AGAGUUUGAUCAUGGCUCAGGAUGAACGCUGGCGGUCUGCUUAACACAUGCAAGUCGAACGGAGUAGAAAUACUUAGUGGCGGACGGGUGAGUAACGCGUGAGAAUCUGCCUUCAGGACGGAGACAACAGUUGGAAACGACUGCUAAGCCCCGAUGUACCGAAAGGGAAAAUAUUUAUAGCCUGAAGAUGAGCUCGCGUCCGAUUAGCUAGUUGGCGGAGUAAAAGCCCACCAAGGCGACGAUCGGUAGCUGGUCUGAGAGGACGAUCAGCCACACUGGGACUGAGACACGGCCCAGACUCCUACGGGAGGCAGCAGUGGGGAAUUUUCCGCAAUGGGCGAAAGCCUGACGGAGCAAGACCGCGUGGGGGAAGAAGGCUCUUGGGUUGUAAACCCCUUUUCUCUGGGAAGAAAGUUGUGAAAGCAACCUGACGGUACCAGAGGAAUCAGCAUCGGCUAACUCCGUGCCAGCAGCCGCGGUA